CUGGGAGGAAGGAGGAGGGUGGGAAGUGAGAGAUGAUAACCCCAGCUCUGAGAGAAGCGCUCACAAAUCAAGAAUCUCUCCUGAUGCUGCUGAGACCACAGUUCUGCUAUUGCACUGGAGGCACCUUGCUUCAGAGCUGGGCUCUGAUUUUCUAACUAUGUCCUGUGUGAGUCCAGCAGCUGUGGGAUCCCAACACCUUUGCUCCCCAGGAUUGGUCUGAGCUUUUGUCAGUUACAAACUGGUUGGGAGCCAUUCUGGGGUGAAGCUCUGCUGACGGACAAAGGUAAAUGCUCUCUUUCCUUCUCUCAUUUUCUAAAUUGAAAUUAAAAAAGUAGACACUUACUCAGGUAGUAACAUUUCCAAAUGAAGUAUUGUUUAAAAAAGCAGUAUUACAUUAAUGAAACCAAAUUUCAUCUUCCAAGCUGUAGUUUUACAUUUCAAGCUAUUAAAAUCCUGCUGUGAAGAGUGAGCUUGUGACCGUGGCCAAGAGCUGGGAAUCGAAUUUUCUGUUGUUUUUUCCUGUGAUUCUGCUGUCUGCUAAAAUAACUCCUGCCUCCUGAGGUACACAGCAGAGGGAGAACACCCCACAGAGAAGUGGGAAGGUUUCAUCAGCGCUGUGAGGUCCCUGAAACAAAGAUACUGCAGUCUGUCAUUCCAGUGGAAUGGGCACACGAGGGCAUUUGAACGUGUUGUUGUGGGACUGUGAGCACAGUCUAGUGGGGAUCGGAUGGAGCAGCCCUGAG